UUCUUAGGAGUUAUAAUAGUUAACCAAAUAAAUUUUAUUUGGAGGAAAGUCCGGGGCUUAUUAUUUAAUAAAUUAAAUAACCACAAUGUAAAACAUCUAAUGAAAAUUAGGGUAAUUAAAAGAAAUAUUUUGGACCUUAUAAUGGUCAUUCUAGAAGAAUUGAGGGUAAUCGGAUUGAUGGAGUCCGCCCUCUGCUAAAUUUUAUGAUAGAAUCAUUUAACCUGUGGUAAGCCUAAACCCAGAAGUUUUCUUCCCUCGGCCGGGCGCGAAGUUUCUGGAAUUCUGGAAUUCCAGAAACCAUCAACUUGUUGAUGGCGCCCGCCCGGUAUACCGGGNNNNNNCCUUGCGGCCGCCCCCCGGGACUAAAAAUAAGUAUUCCAUGGGGGCCGGCUACGCCGCCCCUCACCUCGCCGGGCGACCCCUUUAAAAAUGGAAUAUUUUUAAUUAUCACAAGUGAUAAUUAAAAACUCGCCCGGCGAUACUUUAAUUUUAGUUAAGAAUACAAAGUGCUUUAAUCCUUAGUAAGGAUAGCUUUUUAUUCAAUAAAUUAAUUUAUUGAGUAUAGAUAUAUUAACUUAAUAACAGAAUCCGGCUUAUUUAACUCUAAGAA
rnacentral:misc_RNA from 1 species